GGACUACUCGGGUAUCUAAUCCUGUUUGAUCCCCGUGCUUUCGCGCCUCAGCGUCAGUUGUCGUCCAGAUAGCCGCCUUCGCCACCGGUGUUCCUCCUAAUAUCUACGAAUUUCACCUCUACAUUAGGAAUUCCGCUAUCCCCUCCGACACUCCAGCCAUACAGUUUCAAAGGCAAUUCCUGGGUUGAGCCCAGGGAUUUCACCUCUGACUUGCAUGGCCGCCUACGCGCGCUUUACGCCCAGUAAUUCCGAACAACGCUAGCACCCUUCGUAUUACCGCGGCUGCUGGCAC
rnacentral:rRNA from 1 species